rnacentral:rRNA from 1 species
GCGGCUUCCCAUGCAGUCGAGCGGGGAAGGGUAGCUUGCUACCUGACCUAGCGGCGGACGGGUGAGUAAUGCUUAGGAAUCUGCCUAUUAGUGGGGGACAACAUUCCGAAAGGAAUGCUAAUACCGCAUACGCCCUACGGGGGAAAGCAGGGGAUCUUCGGACCUUGCGCUAAUAGAUGAGCCUAAGUCAGAUUAGCUAGUUGGUGGGGUAAAGGCCUACCAAGGCGACGAUCUGUAGCGGGUCUGAGAGGAUGAUCCGCCACACUGGGACUGAGACACGGCCCAGACUCCUACGGGAGGCAGCAGUGGGGAAUAUUGGACAAUGGGCGAAAGCCUGAUCCAGCCAUGCCGCGUGUGUGAAGAAGGCCUUUUGGUUGUAAAGCACUUUAAGCGAGGAGGAGGCUACUUGGAUUAAUACUCUAGGAUAGUGGACGUUACUCGCAGAAUAAGCACCGGCUAACUCUGUGCCAGCAGCCGCGGUAAUACAGAGGGUGCGAGCGUUAAUCGGAUUUACUGGGCGUAAAGCGUGCGUAGGCGGCUUUUUAAGUCGGAUGUGAAAUCCCUGAGCUUAACUUAGGAAUUGCAUUCGAUACUGGGAAGCUAGAGUAUGGGAGAGGAUGGUAGAAUUCCAGGUGUAGCGGUGAAAUGCGUAGAGAUCUGGAGGAAUACCGAUGGCGAAGGCAGCCAUCUGGCCUAAUACUGACGCUGAGGUACGAAAGCAUGGGGAGCAAACAGGAUUAGAUACCCUGGUAGUCCAUGCCGUAAACGAUGUCUACUAGCCGUUGGGGCCUUUGAGGCUUUAGUGGCGCAGCUAACGCGAUAAGUAGACCGCCUGGGGAGUACGGUCGCAAAACUAAAACUCAAAUGAAUUGACGGGGGCCCGCCCAAGCGGUGGAGCAUGUGGUUUAAUUCGAUGCACCGCGAAGAACCUUACCUGGUCUUGACAUAGUAAGAACUUUUCAAAAGAUGGGAUUGGGUGGCUUUCGGGAACUUACAUAAAGGUGCUGCAUGCUUGUCGUCAGCUCCUGGUCNGNNAGAUGUUGGGUUAAGUCCCCGCACCGAGGCGCCACCUUUUUCUUUAUNGCANCGGUANNCNGGNNCCUUAGGANCUGCGNGACAACUGAGGAGCGGGNNANNANGUUCUAUGNCUUANNNGNNCANNNUCAAUGUCGUCAAGNUGUUCUA